rnacentral:snRNA from 1 species
AGCUUCGUACAGUGGCAGUAUUGUAGCCAGUGAGGUUUAUCCGAGGCAUGAUUAUUAUUAAUUGAAAACUUAAAUGAUAAUA